ensembl:lncRNA
CGGUUAAUUAGCAUGGGGGCUUAACGAGGCAUGGAAUGAGCACUUUGUGGGGGCGGUUCAUGAGGGGGAAGGUGGUUGGGGGUGGGACUCAUUUGCAUAUAUUAGCAUACGAGGGUGGGAUUGGGGUGUUAAUUAGUAUAUGCUAAUGAGGAUGGGAUCGGCCAUAGGGAAGAAGUCGUUAAUUAGCGGCCUUCACGAGCUGCGGAUCGUUACUAUUGAGGCUUCGUGUUGGUUGAAGGCUGGGCUCAUUUGCAUACAUUAGCAUAUGAGGAUCGAGAGUGCAUACGAGGAUCGAGAAUGCUCGCUAAUUAGCAUUGCUAAUGAGGACGGGAUCAGCACUAACGAAGACUUCGUUAAUUAGCGACCUUAACGAGUUGUCCAUUGUUACCAUUGAGGCUCUUCAGUGAUUGAAUGCUGGGCUCAUUUGCAUAAAUUAGCAUACGAGGAUCAAGAAGGGUCGCUAAUUAAGGCCACUAAUGAGGUUCGGAUUGACGAUGAUGGAGACUUCGUUAAUUAGCAGCCUUGUUAAUUAGCGGCCUUGACGAGCUGUGGAUUGCUAUCAUGGAGGCCUCGCAUUGGUUGAAAGCUGAGCUCAUUUGCAUGAAUUAGCAUACGGGGAUCAAGAAAGGAUGUUAAUUAGAGCUGCUAAUGAAGAUUGGAUCAGCGCUAACGAAGAGUUUGUUAAUUAGGAACCUUAAUGAGCAAUCCAUCGUUACCUUCGAGGCUUUUCAGUGGUUGAAAGCUGGGCUCAUUUGCAUAAAUUAGCAUACGAGGAUCAAGAAAGGACGUUAAUUGGCGCUGCUAAUGAGGAUCCAAUCAGCGCUAACGAAGACUUCGUUAAUUAGCGACCUUAAUGAGCUGUGGAUCGUUACCAUGGAGGUCUCGGAUUGGUUGAAAGCUGAGCUCAUUUGCAUAAAUUAGCAUACGAGGAUCAAGAAGGGGCAUUAAUUAAGGCUGCUAAUGAAGAUUGGAUCAGCGCUAACGAAGAGUUUGUUAAUUAGGAACCUUAAUGAGCAAUCCAUCGUUACCUUGGAGGCUUUUCAGUGGUUGAAAGCUGGGCUCAUUUGCAUAAAUUAGCAUACGAGGAUCAAGAAAGGACGUUAAUUGGCGCUGCUAAUGAGGAUCCAAUCAGUGCUAACGAAGACUUCGUUAAUUAGCGACCUUAACGAGCUGCGGAUCGUUACCAUGGAGGCCACGGAUUGGUUGAAAGCUGGGCUCAUUUGCAUAAAUUAGCAUACGAGGAUCAAGAAGCGUCGUUAAUUAGAGCUGCUAAUGAGGAUCCGAUCAGCGCUAAUGAAGAUCUUGUUAAUUAGCGGAUGAAGGCUUCGUUAAUGAGCGGCUUUGACGAGCUGCGGGUCGUUACCAUGGAGGCUUCUCAUUGGUCGAAAGCUGGGCUCAUUUGCAUACAUUUGCAUAGGAGGAUCACGAAAGCUCGUUCCUGAGCACUAAUUAACGGGGCUUAAUGAGGCUGCUUAAUGAGCUCGGCGCAGCGGUAACGAAGGCCGCCUUAAUUAGCGAGCGCGGCUCCCGGCGUCGGCUUCCCAUUGGUCGAGAGCCCCCCUCAUUAGCAUAUAUGAAUGGUUAAUGAGGGGGCGGUGUUGAAUGGGUUUCAAUGGGGGCCAAUGGGGUUUAAUGGGGGUUAAUGGGGUCUUAUAGGGUCUUAUAGGGUUUAAUGGGGGUUAAUGGGGUCUUAUUGGGUUUUAAUGGGGGUUAAUGGGGUUUUAAUGGGGGUUAAUGGGGUCUUAUAGGGUUUAAUGGGGGUUAAUGGGGUCUUAUAGGGUUUUAAUGGGG